AGCACCAGCACCUCUGUGAGUCCCCAGCCUGCAGCAGAGCCAGCAGAGCAGGGGACAGGCACCUCCUCCAGGACACAUCUAAAGGGGAUGAGGGAAGAGCUGUGCAUCCUUCCGUGGCCCAGACUUCCUGAACAGACUCAGUUUUUCCAGAAUGAGGAGAUACAGUGAAAAUGGGAGAAAUCGGUCCAAUAGCACUCAAGAAACUGGCAAUAAAGAAGACAUGUCAGUCACUUGUAGGAA